UACGUAGGGGGCUAGCGUUGUCCGGAUUUAUUGGGCGUAAAGAGCGUGUAGGCGGCCAGGUAGGUCUGGUGUGAAAACUCGAGGCUUAACCUCGAGAUGUCAUCGGAAACCAUCUGGCUAGAGUCCGGAAGAGGAGAGUGGAAUUCCUGGUGUAGCGGUGAAAUGCGCAGAUAUCAGGAAGAACACCGUAGUGGCGAAGGCGCUCUCUGGGACGGUACUGACGCUGAGAGCGAAGCGUAGGGAGCGGAACGG
rnacentral:rRNA from 1 species